UGUGGAGCAGAGCUGGCACCACAUCAGCCACACCAUCAGGGACUCAUUCACCUGCACAUCUACUAAUGGGAUAUAAGCCAUCAUGUACUAGCAAUGCCCCUCUGCCAUGUACAUUGGCCAAACCGGACAGUCUUUAUGUAAAAGAAUAAAUGGACG